AAUGUAAAUUGGUGCAGGCACUGUGGAAAACAGUAUGGAGGUGUCUCAUAAAGUUAAAAAUAGAAUUGCCCUAUGGUCCAAUAAUCACACUACUGGGGAUCUACCUUGGGAAUACAAAGACACUAACUCGAAGGGAUACAUGCACUCCUAUGUUUAUUGCAGCAUUUUUUACAAAAGCCAAGAUAUGGAAGCAGCCCAGAUGUCCAUCAAUAAUGGUCAUAUUUCCUUCCUGUCUAGAGUGCCCCCCAUUUUACAACCUAAAAAUUGGCUACUAUUUCCAUAAGCAAAGUAUCUCCCAAUUCAAUCCCGUUGUGAUACUCUUAAGAUUCCUUUUCUUCCUUCUUUUCUACUUAUGGUUCUCUCUGUCUGCAAUGUUCUAUUCUUAAACUUCCCCGUGACUUCUUCCCUAUGUCAAUUCAGAUAUCUACUCAUCAGAAGUCACCUAAUCACAAUGAACUUCCUGGAUCAACUUGAGAAAUGGCCUCCAAGGAUUGGCGGUGGAGGAAGUACCAACCUAAGUAACGCUGGAGUAGAGUGGAACUCACAUGAAGACCACAGGACUCCUUGGAAGCUACCAGAAGUGCAGCAUCUCUCAGAGCAGUACUUUUUGAUCCUGUUCAUCUCAGGAAACCAGCUCCGGCCUCUUGCCUUCAGACUUUUCAAAUUUAAAUAUAGACUUGGUUCACUUGAAGUUUAUUCCUAUUUUGCUUGAGUGAGAGAGAGAACACAAGCAGGGGGAGCAGCAGGCAGAGGGAAAGGGAGAAGCCGA